rnacentral:RNase_P_RNA from 1 species
GAGUAGGCUAGGUUAUCGCUGCAGUUAGUAAUAGCUGGAGAGGAAAGUCCGGGCUCUACAGGGCAAAGCGCUGGAUAACACCCAGAAGGAGUGAUCCUUGGAAAGUGCCACAGAAAAUAACCGCUAAUAGCCUUGGCUAUUUAGUAAGGGUGAAAAGGUAGGGUAAGAGCCUACCAGUAAUUAUGGUGACAUAGUUAGCUAGGUAAACCCCGUUUAGAGCAAGACCAAAUAGGAGGGGGGCUGGCCCGCCAAAUAACUCCUCGGGUAGGUUGCUUGAUGCGUUUGGUAACAAACGUGCUAGAUAAAUGAUGACCACUUCUUUUAAGAAGAACAAAACCCGGCUUAUCGGCUUACUCCU